rnacentral:rRNA from 1 species
GAUUAAGUUAUUAAGGGCGCACGGUGGAUGCCUUGGCACUAGAAGCCGAUGAAGGACGUUACUAACGACGAUAUGCUUUGGGGAGCUGUAAGUAAGCUUUGAUCCAGAGAUUUCCGAAUGGGGAAACCCAGCAUGAGUUAUGUCAUGUUAUCGAUAUGUGAAUACAUAGCAUAUCAGAAGGCACACCCGGAGAACUGAAACAUCUUAGUAC